rnacentral:rRNA from 1 species
GAUGAACGCUGGCGGCGUGCCUAAUACAUGCAAGUCGAGCGAACGGACGAGAAGCUUGCUUUUCUGAUGUUAGCGGCGGACGGGUGAGUAACACGUGGAUAACCUACCUAUAAGACUGGGAUAACUUCGGGAAACCGGAGCUAAUACCGGAUAAUAUUUUGAACCGCAUGGUUCAAAAGUGAAAGACGGUCUUGCUGUCACUUAUAGAUGGAUCCGCGCUGCAUUAGCUAGUUGGUAAGGUAACGGCUUACCAAGGCAACGAUGCAUAGCCGACCUGAGAGGGUGAUCGGCCACACUGGAACUGAGACACGGUACAGACUCCUACGGGAGGCAGCAGUAGGGAAUCUUACGCAAUGGGCGAGAGCCUGACGGAGGAACGCCGCGUGAGUGAUGAAGGUCUUCGGAUCGUAAAACGCUGUUAUUAGGGAAGAACAUAUGUGUAAGUAACUGUGCACAUCUUGACGGUACCGAAUCAGAAAGCCACGGCUAACUACGUG